GGUAGGGUAAGGUGAAUACCUUAAAUCCUUGGGUAGGAUGCUCAAUAGGACAUGAAUCCUAGUGCUCAAAAAUUACCUACUUAUGAAGUUCCUCUCGCAACAGCUGCAUCUUCCCCCAUGGAUCCAGUUUCAGCCAUUCAGCGCCAGGCCUGGACCUAAGUCAUCCUCACUCAAGGCAUGCCCUACCUCUCAUCAUAGUCACUGUCCCUCCCCCCAACCCACGACUGACACAGGCUGUAGGAAACCCAGACUUUGUAUCCGCUUGCUCUCACCAUGAAUUUCGUGGACGUUUUUUGAGAAAUAUUAUCACGUUCCACAAAUCUCUAAUGUCAAGCCAUGAUUUUCAAAAAGAUAUAAACAUCCCUUCGCCGAGAUAAAGUCAA